AAACGUCAGGGCUUAUCUGCGCUUGAUCUGCUUUGAGAUACUCAGAAAUCCCUGGUCACUCUAUGAGAAGUCAAACUGAAGGGCGAAAAGUGGACUGGAAUUGGCUGAUGCUGGAGCGUCUGGGUGAGCGUGGGAAGGAGCAGCAGACCACGAACCGGGGCCAAUCUGGACUCUACUCAAAAGACCUAGGGGUGGGUUCCUGGUGGCCUGAGAGGGAACCUGAGAUGACCUCUGCUAGGCAGGGUGGGACAGCAGAUAUCCAUCUAGUAUCCCUUUCCAGCCACUUGUCAUCUUGGGCUAUCUGGGCCUGCUUUGCGGAGAACAGCCUGUCCUGGUCGUGUCUGGGGGAAAAGCGGUCCUCACGA